GAUGAACGCUAGCGGCAGGCUUAACACAUGCAAGUCGAGGGGUAUAGGAAGCUUGCUUCCUAGAGACCGGCGCACGGGUGCGUAACGCGUAUGCAACCUACCUUUUACAGAGGGAUAGCCCAGAGAAAUUUGGAUUAAUACCUCAUAGUAUAUGUUUUUCGCAUGUUAGACAUAUUAAAGUUCCAACGGUAAAAGAUGGGCAUGCGUCCUAUUAGCUAGAUGGUAAGGUAACGGCUUACCAUGGCAACGAUAGGUAGGGGUCCUGAGAGGGAGAUCCCCCACACUGGUACUGAGACACGGACCAGACUCCUACGGGAGGCAGCAGUGAGGAAUAUUGGACAAUGGGCGCAAGCCUGAUCCAGCCAUGCCGCGUGCAGGAAGAAGCAUCUAUGGUGUGUAAACUGCUUUUGUACGGGAAGAAACACUCCUACGUGUAGGAGCUUGACGGUACCGUAAGAAUAAGGAUCGGCUAACUCCGUGCCAGCCGCCGCAGUAAGAC
rnacentral:rRNA from 1 species